rnacentral:rRNA from 1 species
CCUACGGGGGGCAGCAGUGGGGAAUCUUGCACAAUGGGGGAAACUCUGAUGCAGCGACGCCGCGUGAGUGAAGAAGUAAUUCGUUACGUAAAGCUCUAUCAGCAGGGAAGAAAAUGACGGUACCUGAGUAAGAAGCCCCGGCUAACUACGUGCCAGCAGCCGCGGUAAUACGUAGGGGGCAAGCGUUAUCCGGAUUUACUGGGUGUAAAGGGAGCGUAGACGGCAGUGCAAGUCUGGAGUGAAAGGCGGGGGCUCAACCCCCGGACUGCACUGGAAACUGUACGGCUGGAGUGCAGGAGAGGUAAGUGGAAUUCCUAGUGUAGCGGUGAAAUGCGUAGAUAUUAGGAGGAACACCAGUGGCGAAGGCGGCUUACUGGACUGUAACUGACGUUGAGGCUCGAAAGCGUGGGGAGCAAACAGGAUUAGAUACCCCAGUAGUC